UAAAGUUCACCAAAUCAUUUAUUAUAAUACAGUCUCAUUCUCUAUUAACAAAUGGUACAGCAGUCAGAGAUGAAAAUAAGAUAUGCAGCAUCAUUUCCCAGUCCACUAAUAAAAUAAGGCUGCUCAAUUACCCAAGUGAACCAAGGAAAGCUAUAAUAAAAUUCUGUAAGUUUGAGUUAGAAAAAAAUGGGUCAUGUAGUUAGUGAACAAAGACUUCCCUUUUAGCUAUUAGCUUGUUUUAGUGUACUUGCAGGAAAAGCAGUAAAUUUAUUAUUCCGCCAAUGUUUUUGAAAUUAAAAUUCUAUGAGAAAGUGAAAUCAAGGUUUUUGAAAGCAAUUAAAAAUUAUUUAAAAUUGUUUUCUUCUAUAAGGUGUGUCUACAAAUACUUAAAUGUAGAAUUGAAGAGAUUUUUCCCUAGAUACAUGCUCCCUCUUUUUUAGAGUAAACAGAAUUUUCAUGUAAUACAUUGAAAUAUAUAGUUUAUUAAAAUUGAGCUGUGUCCAAGAGAUAUGUAGUGCUAUUAAUUCUCAUAAGGUCACUUAAAUAACAGUCAAUGUAAAGUAAUUUUUUUUAAGACAGGGAAAAAAUUUUUAAUGUAUUAAUGUCAGGCUCUGAGGAAAUUUAAUGCACAUUGACUUUUUAAAGUAUGGAUUGAACUCCUCCUCAGUUUAAUACAAUUUGUGUUUUUGUUAACUAGCAGCAGAAUUUCAGCAUUUGCUACUUACUGGUAGAGAAGAAAAAUCCCACAGCCCUGCCAGUACAGUUUAAUCUGUAUAAGAAAUGGCGUAGAUACAGUGAAAAUGGUUUUCCUUAAAACCAUCUCUUUAAAGCUGCUUUUCUGGUGAGUACUAUUUUAUACUUUUAUAUAUUACAGUUUUUCCUUUUAAAUUUAACUGGAAUGGGGACACUUAUCAAAGAGUGAGCAAUCUGAAUUUCUACACUCUUUUUAGAUAUUAACCGGAUUGGGAAUAUUAAGAAUAAGAAAGUGAUUAUUUUACCUCCUUAAAUUUCCCUGGCGAUCUAGGUUCACCUUUUUUUCUGAUUUUCACUUCACAGAUUAUAACUACAAAAUCUUUUAACACAUAAAUUAUUUUCUUUUGGCGAAAUCGAAAAGGUUUUAUAAAAGGCUAGCUUUUAUAAUUGUUUUAAGCUUAAAAUUUUAGUUGGUAGCCGAAAGAUUUUUUCCUAUGCUUUUUGGUUCCCACAUUGCAUGGGCCUAAUAAUUAAAUACCAGAAUUCCUGUUUAUUUUCUUGUUUGAAGCUGUUGUUGUAGUGAUUUGUGAGCAGUUAAACUGAGGGUGGGGUUGCAGGAGGGCUAGCCUUAAAAAUAUGGUUAUGCAGGCUAAUUGCUUACAGGGUUCUCUUUGAGUGGGGCUUGAAAAUUUCCAGUGUGUUCUUUAAAAACUUUUUUAUUUUUAAAUUACAGUUGAUGUUCAGUAUUUUAUAUUAGUUUCAAGUGUACACUAUAGUGGUUAGACAUUUAUGUAAUUUAUGAAGUCCUAUUCUUCCUGGUACGUCUUUCAGUGUAUUCUUAAAUCACUAACUUUGCAUGAAAAGCUUGGAUUAGAAAUACUGGUUUCUGAGACACUGUAUACAAGUGAAAAUUAGCCUCUGAAUAAAUUUUUAGUUACUUAUGCCCUGUUUAAUACCUUCCCCCAGUGUAACACAUGGAUUUUUUCUCCCUCUAGUUUUUAGCCAUAUUCUAGCUAAUGUCACAUUGUAUCAGUUGCUGAUCUUUGUAAACCAAUAAUGAACAGUGGACUCUAAUGCUUUUAAGUAUAAACAAUGAUAGUGUUCUAAAAUCUGAAAGUUGAUAUCUGAGUAUGUGAUAAUGGUGAUGUAUUCUUAUACAUAAGCACUAAACAAAAUAUGGACCCUCAAUUUAUGUCUUUAAGAUUUAAGGUGAAGUAAAUUUCUAAGGAACUCUGUCCUUUCCUAGCAAGGACAAGCAGACAUUGAAAAUUUGGUAAGUAUUUAACUUUAAAUGCAUGUGAUAGUGAAGAGAGUGAGUAGCCAAAUUUCCAUGGUUUAAGAUAUUAAGACAUGAACAAGAAUUCUUGAGUCUCCUUUGCGACCUAAAACGUGUCUAGCAGUUUUAUAAAUUUGUGUGCACAGUGAUUAAAUUGAAAUGUACCUUA